UACGGGGGGGGCAAGCGUUGUUCGGAAUUACUGGGCGUAAAGCGCGCGUAGGCGGCUUUGUAAGUUAGAGGUGAAAGCCCGGAGCUCAACUCCGGAACUGCCUUUAAGACUGCAUCGCUAGAACGUCGGAGAGGUAAGUGGAAUUCCGAGUGUAGAGGUGAAAUUCGUAGAUAUUCGGAAGAACACCAGUGGCGAAGGCGACUUACUGGACGACUGUUGACGCUGAGGUGCGAAAGCGUGGGGAGCAAACAGG
rnacentral:rRNA from 1 species